GCGGGCGUGGCGGAACAGGUAGACGCGCCGGACUCAAAAUCCGGUUCUGGUAACAGAGUGUCGGUUCGAUUCCGACCGCCCGCA
rnacentral:tRNA from 1 species